GGCAGGGUCACAGGCUACUUCAUCUGCCUCCGUAUCUUUAUGCUAAGCACUGCACCCUCUGACAUUGGAGGGCAAGAAAAGAAAAGGUGUUACAAGGAGGAGGCUAGAACCUAUCCCAGGAGUAAUCUGAGAAUUGAGCCAGUGGUUGACAACCAUCCUAGGAAGUAUUUGGAAAUGUGUGGAGACAUGGUACGGUGGACACAAUGAUAGGGAGGGGCACUAUAGGUGGGAGCCAGAGAUAGUGAGCAUCCCAAAAGUGCAGAAGAUCCCAAAGCCAAGAGCAUCCAUUGAGAUAUACUGAAGUCAGUUCCAUCUACCCUAGCUGCUCUGACCAUACCUGAACCACUGUACUCAGCACAAAGCCACAACAAAUGUGGAAGGCAGGGAAGAACGAAGAGUUGCAAGAAGAAAAAAAAUACAACAUGCCCAAAAGGUGGUGAUGAGGAAAAGGGGAAACUUAGAGGCAGAUUGGGGCCAAAAACCUAUAGACAACAGCUAGCAGGAUUUAACAAUGAGAACGGCAAGCAGCUUCUCAAAGAGGGAUGCCCCUGCCAACACGGAUGCUGAGCUGCAGCAGGAUGUCUUCAGCUGGAGGGCGCUCUUGAGCCCAUCAGCAGCCAAGGUCUACCUGUCCUACCUCCAAGCCUCUUGUGCUCGUCACUUCCUCUCCACUGCCACGAUGUGGCCACACCUCUCAUAGCUCAACUCAUCUCAUCUACCCCACGAUUCACCUUGGGUCUCUAGGGUCCCAGGUUUGCCAUUUACCACCACGGGCAAGGUACAUAAUACUUCUCUGCACCUCUGAUUCCUCCUCUAUAAUGGCACACAGAGGAUGAGGUCAAUAAUUACACUUUACGGCCGGGCACGGUGGUUCACGCCUGUAAUCCCAACACUUUGGGGGGCCGAGGCAUGCAGAUCACCUGAGGUCGGGAGUUCAAGACCAGCCUGACCAACAUGGAGAAACCCCAUCUCUACUAAAAAUACAAAAUUAGCUGGGCAUAGUGGCGCAUGCCUGUAAAUAAUUAUGCUUUACACUUGGAUGUCUCAAGGUAGCGCUGGAGUAGUUAUUCUGAGCUACUGGAAUAUCAGCGAGUGCCACCUCCAGAGGGAGCUUCCCAGAGCCCAGCCCUGUACCAUCUCUGAGCUUCCAGGAGUCCCCAGCUCUCCAGCCUCAGAAUAAAACCUGCCUGGAAGCUGGCACUGGAGGGUCUCCAUGGGCCCAGCCUAACCUGUCCACACCCUCCCAGGGCUCCCCCUUCUACCACCCAUACUUCUGGCCAGACUAUAGUGCCACUUGCUCAUCACACCCAGCCCAUUCCCAGGUGUUCCCAUUCAGUUUUCUGAUUCCACCAUCACUACUGCCUCUACCAACAUCCCAACUGACCCUUCAGGCCCAGCUCAAAUGAGACCUCUCCGAGGAGUUUCCCAGAUCCCCCUACCCAGGAAUGACCUGCUCCCCUAUCUCCCUAUGCAUGCCUCCCUAUGGUUCUAGCUGAUGUCUACUAGGCCUGGCUUCACCUAUGAGGCUGGGGUCAGGGUGGUUUCAUGGAUGUGUAACCUUGUGCAGUCUCACAAGGCUCACAAUUGGCUUCGCACUCUGCUGUUGCCAUCGUGAAAUCCUCAAUGAUUUAUGUGCUGCAAGGAGCUCCCAAUUUUCAUUUUGCACUGGGCCUGCAAACUGCAAACUGCAGAUGUGGUCCUGCUGAGGACUUCUCAAGGAUGAGGCUUUGGUUUAUCUCUGCAUCUCACAGCCUGCAGCAGUGACUGGGACACAGUAAGGACUUAACAAAGGAGGGAAGGUGGGUAAUCAAGUUUUUAAAAUGAAAAUAAAGGAUUGCUGAAUAAAUGAACAACCAGAGAGGCGGCCACCAGCCAAGGACAAACAAAGCUGAAUCUGGAACACUGGCUUCCUGCUGUCCUCUCAGACUAAACGCAGACAAAUAAACGUCACCUUACCUACCGACCAGUGUCUCAGCAAGGAAGGAGUGAGAGAAGGAGGUGAAAGUGCACUGAAGACCUAAUACACAAUGCAUACUUAAGCGGGACUGUCAGGGGACAAAGAACCAGAGCCAGUGGACAAAACCUCCGUUCCCAAACUCCAAGCCACCAAUGGAAGGCCUCACAUAGGAAGCUGUGGGUGGAAGAUGGUGCGUUUCUACUGCCUGGUGGUUUUGGAUCUCUAUCACCUACUCAGAAUCUGAACCCUAGCCUGUGUGUGUGAGAGGCUGCAUGUGCACAUACAAAAACAGCAAGGUAUCUACAAGGGGGGUCAGGAUUGCAGAGGGGCUACCUGUGUGAGCUCUGGAGCCCAACUGCCUGCCUGGGAAUCCCAGCUUACCCACUGACUAGCUGUGUGACUCAGGGCAAGUUCUUUAACCACUCUGUGCCUCUGUCUGCACCUCACUCUCCUUGCCCCUAAAACAGGGGUAAGCAAAGUACCC
rnacentral:lncRNA from 1 species